rnacentral:rRNA from 1 species
CCUACGGGGGGCAGCAGUAGGGAAUCUUUCACAAUGGGCGAAAGCCUGAUGGAGCAACGCCGCGUGCAGGAUGAAGGCCUUCGGGUUGUAAACUGCUUUUAUAAGCGAGAAAUAUGAUGGUAACUUAUGAAUAAGGAUCGGCUAACUACGUGCCAGCAGCCGCGGUCAUACGUAGGAUCCGAGCAUUAUCCGGAGUGACUGGGUGUAAAGAGUUGCGUAGGUGGCAUAAUAAGUAGCUAGUGAAAUCUGGUGGCUCAACCAUUCAGACUAUUAGCUAAACUGUUAAGCUCGAGACCGUUAGGGGUAACUGGAAUUUCGAGUGUAGGAGUGAAAUCCGUAGAUAUUAGAAGGAACACCAAUAGCGUAGGCAGGUUGCUGGGACGGUUCUGACACUAAGGCACGAAAGCGUAGGGAGCAAACGGGAUUAGAUACCCCAGUAGUC